UUAGUCUUUGGGGUAAUAUAGUUACUUUUAUUGGGUCUUUUAUUUGUUGUGUUUAUCUAUAUUGUUGUUUGAUGUUUUUAUAUGUAUUCUUUCAUUAUUUUUAUAGCUCUUAUUGUUUUUUCUUGUUUCUGGCCAAUUUACUGUAAAGCACUUUGGUAGGCCACUGGCUGUUUUCAAUAUGUUAUGUAAAUAAAGCUGACAUUGGCAUUGACUCCCUGUUGUUAACCCACACCACUUGUUAACUGAUAACUUCAGUCUUCCAGUAAUUGUAGAAGUUAACACCAGUCCUCUGGCACCAGGUAGUAUAUAGCAGUACUAGCUGCAUGUCAAACUGAGAUCCGUUUCACUAAGCGGCAGUUUAUUCACCAAGGCUCUCUGUCCACCAUAAAUGAUUUGUCAAUAAGAUUGAGCUGAUCUUACUUACAUAUUCAUACAGUCAUAAUUUUGUCACAGUAAACAUGGAGUCACGGUCAGCCGACACGCUAUACUCCAAUGGCGUUUAUUGGGGACAGUCAAAGUUAAUAGUCCAUAAAGACAGUGUCUGGUCUUCUUUGUCUGGUCAAUAAUAAAGCCGUCACACAGCAUCUCUGCACUUCUGUUGGAGAUUCUUCCUUAUUUGCAUCUGCAUUCUGUUUCUAUGCAAGUUUGCGUUAUAUCAUCCAUGUGUUUGCUGUUCAUGCAAUUUUUUUUCAGCUUUGCACCAAAUUUUGUACUUUUGCAAUCCUUUGUGACUUUUGCAUGUGUCCUAAAAUUUGUUUUGUUAUUGGAUUUGCAGUACAGACCAUCAGGCUGUUGCUUAUGAUCCGCCCAGCUUGUGCUUGCAGAAAUGGUCUAUACAGGCGGUGCUGUAAGGCUAAACGGUAACGUUUGCAGCACACAGAUAAACAGUGGAGGUAAAUCUGAGGUGAGAAUAUAUUCAAAGAUUUUGAAGAAGUGUUAUAAAUAAAACCUGUGUUAGAUGUUGCUGGUGUAGAUGUGUCACCAUAUAAGCCUGUGGGAGCUAAAGUGAGAGGGAAGGGAAUAUAACACACACACACACACACACACAAUCAUACACAGACCAGUGAUCCUGCCUCAUGUCAAAGCUAUUCCCGUGAAGGGACAGCUGAAGUUGAUCUCAUUAACUUUCCCUUCAUUCAAACAGCUAAUUACACACAUACACACAAUCACAGCCUUUGCAGCACAAUCAAGAAGUGACAAAGGAGGAAAGAGAGGCAGGGGGGUAAGGGUUGGAGAGAAAGUCUGAAACAAACAGAAAGAAAAAGAGAAAGAGGAGGACAAUGUGAGAACGUAAGGGUACAGACAAAGAGAGAGGAUGCUUUGUUAUUCCUGAACCUUCAACGUAUAUCUAACUCAAGUUUCAGCUGACUUUCCCCUCUCGUGUACUGCAGUGGACUAGCUCAGAGUCAGAAUCUAUCUCAAAAGCUAUUUGUUUCCACUAUUCCUAAUAAAGGAAUUAAUGUUAUGUUAAUGACUUUUCAGCCUAUUACUGCACUACUGAUGGAUCCAUCUGUACUUGAAAAUGUCUUUUCCUCCAGAACCCUGCCGCAUGGUUAUUUGUGUCUGAGUCUUUGUCAGGUAAUUUAUGGUGGGACAUUAGGCCGUUAAUACAUUGUGUUACAAAAAAGACGACAGUUUAAUGGCAUUGCGUAGAUGAACAAACUAGCCAUUAAUAAUGCCUUAUAAUGUACCCUGUUGAAGGCCUUUUGGGAACGGGAGACUGUGCUGCUGGAAACUUAAAAGUGAAUAACAAGAUGUGGAUGUUUGUGUGGGUGCAUAGAAAGGUACAUGCAUGUUUUUAGAUGAGUAAAGCAGCAAUGUGAAGAGGAAAAAAGGAAGAACUAGAGGAAAGUACAUUUUUGGGGCACAGAGGUGGAAGAUCAGGCACACUUGGUGACAUAACUGUUUACUUCAGUAGAGAGCAGGGUUCAUUUUAAGCUGUUCUUGUCAAGUUUACCUCAUUUCUCAUCAAAUUUAUUCCCUAAAUUAAAAAUAAAUAAACAAUCAAUUAAGGCAGUUUGACUUUUUUUGUUUUUUUUUAAAUGAGCUUGCAAUAGACAUUCACUGUAAUGGCUUAGCAAUAUAACUAGACUAGAUUUUGGAUGGUAAAGCUAAACAAUGAUGAUGCUCUAGGGUUAAGGUCAACCUAAUUGGGAUUCUCUAAUUCCGAAAUGCUCACUACUGACAACUACCUCAGCCCAAUUUGUAACAGUGACAUGAAAUGUAAAGAAAAAAAGGUAAAAAGCCCAAAAUGUAAUGAUUGGUCAAUAAUUUAACAAGAGUAUUGAGUCCAAAAUGUUUUAAAAAUGUAAUAUCUACCCAAAAUGUAACAAGUUGCUACAUUUUAGGCAAAAAGUUAUUACUAUACUAUAAAAGUUACUUAUUUUUUUGGCGAUAAGGCACACUUAAAAUCCUUUUCUCAAAUUUUCUCAAAAAUUGACAGUGCAUCUUAUAAUCCAGCGCGCCUUAUGUAUUAUUACUUGUUGUGCUUACUGGCCGAUUUUAUGUGGUACAAUGCACUGAAAAAUCUGUCGAAAUGUAUACGUACAACUUUGGUAAGCAACGAAGCCGCUCCACUCAAUGGAUAUUCGGAGCAUAACGGUACACUCUUUCACUACCGUAUUGGCCCUGUGACAGGAUUCCUGAGCAGUCUGCAAGACUGUCCGACUGUAAUGUAAAAACUAGAAGUCCAUUCAUGUCAGGCAGCCAGGGCAUGGAGUACGCACUAGCAACAAUAAACCAAUCAAUGCUUAGUGCGCC